GCCUCACCUGCGCCUCCCACCCACACACCCUCUGCCCAUUGGCCUGGGAGCUUUCAUCACAUCCCACCCCUGGCCCUUUCUCUGUUGGUUGGGGGUGCUUCUCCUCAGCCCUGUCCUGUGGAAGGAUCUCAGACUGAGGAACACUGAUGUACCCCACUCUGGUAAUGUUGUUUGGAUGUUGGGAGGCUGCUCUAGUUGGAGCUGCCCUAACAGCCUUGUUUCCCACUGGUCCCAUUGGAGCCUAAUCCCAGCUCUGCUGCUGCUCUGUGGUCAGUCAGGACCCAGUUCUCCGGAUGGCUGUGUGUGGCACCAUGAGCAGCAGUGGAGGGAAUCCAUGUCUGUGUGCAGUCCCUGCCUACGUGUCCUCUCCUGUGCUCACCCAGGGUCAGCUGGCGAUGGCAGAGCAGUGCGUGGUGAAGGGGAGAUCUGGCAGAUCUCUUCCUCAGUCAGAAAUAUUUUUUUUCCUACUGUCCUUUGGUCAACCCUGAUGCCAGCUCCAAAGAAAAUCAACUGUGAGAUUCAAAAGAGUGAAAUCAAGUGA
rnacentral:lncRNA from 1 species